GAUGAACGCUGGCGGCGUGCCUAAUACAUGCAAGUCGAGCGAACGGACGAGAAGCGGGCUUCUCUGAUGUUAGCGGCGGACGGGUGAUUAACACGUGGAUAACCUACCUAUAAGACUGGGAUAACUUCGGGAAACCGGAUCUAAUACCGGAUAAUAUUGUGAACCGCAUGGUUCAAAAGUGAAGGACGGUCUUGCUGUCACUUAUAGAGGGAUCCGCGCUGCAUUAGCUAGUUGGUAAGGUAACGGCUUACCAAGGCAACGAUGCAUAGCCGACCUGAGAGGGUGACCGGCCACACUGGAACUGAGACACGGUCCAGACUCCUACGGGAGGCAGCAGUAGGGAAUCUUCCGCAAUGGGCGCAAGCCUGACGGAGCCAUGCCGCGUGAGGGAUGAAGGUCUUCGGAUCGUAAAACUCUGUUAUUAGGGAAGAACAUAUGUGUAAGUAACUGUCCACAUCUUGACGGUACCUAAACAGAAAGCAACGGCUAACUACGUG
rnacentral:rRNA from 1 species